AAGUCGUAACAAGGUUUCCGUAGGUGAACCUGCGGAAGGAUCAUUAUUACGUAUCCAACGUAUAAACCAAAUGUGAAUUGUUUCCGUUCUGAAUGGAAGUCAAUGACUAGUUUGCACCAAGGUUCCGUGUUAGUGUGGAACUGCAAUCUUGUCGCUACAUUCGUGUGGGGCUUCUGUUGUAGAAUCGGUCUUACACUAACUUUAAUCAUUAACCACUUGUACAUAACAUUGAACUAAUUUUGUUUCGCGCUUCUGUGGACCUUUCGGGGCUCAUGGACACGAAAUUCUAUUACGUAACUUGAACAACUCUUAGCAACGGAUAUCUUGGCUCUC
rnacentral:misc_RNA from 1 species